GCCAUGCAUGCCUAGAUCCUGAGGCAUCUCUCUAAAUCUGCGAACGGCUCCGAACAACAGUUGCUAUUGCCGCUAGGGUUCCGUGGGACGCCGGCACAUGGGGGCUGGGGCAUUGCGCCCUGGCCCCUCGCCUAAAUCCCGCCAUACGGAUAUCCUUGGUAAUUCUGAGGCUAAUACGUGCGCUCUCCUUAGGGGGGGCCAGGGGGUUGAGGGUCCUUCGGGGCCCGCCCCCCUCGUGCGGUCUAAAGGGCAGGAGGCCCCCAUGGCCCCGUUGAGAGCCCUGGCCUUCGGGCCGGGGCUUGAGGGGAGGGGGGAAUUCUACACCCGUGACUGGAAGCAUGGGCUGACCCGGCCUCGGCUGGGCGCCUAGCAUCUUAGCUUCUGACCCAUCACCCCUGACGCAUGCGUAAGGGGCCUGCAUAGGUGCAACGGGUACAGAGGAUUAGGGUUUGAUCCUGGAGAGUGGGCCUGAGAGAUUGCUCAUACUUCUAAGGAAGGCAGCAGGCGCGUAACGUUCCCAAUGGGCAACAGCCCGAGGGCGUUAAGGGAAAUAUGGGUGCCCCCCAACAGGGGGCAAUCCAAAUGUGGGGGCCUUAAACAAGCCCCUCGAGUAACAACUAGAGGACAAGCCUGGUGCCAGCACCCGCGGUAAUUCCAGCUCUAGUAGCAUACUUUAAAUUUGCUGCAGUUAAAACGCUCGUAGUCGGGGCUAUGGCCCCCUUUUGCAGGUCGCGCUGCGGCUCCCCGCCCCCAAAGCCCCUUCGGGGGUCAGGGGGAGGGAGGGCGGGCGCGUUUAGCCAGUAGGCGGGCUACGGUGGCUGGGGCACCCCGUUUCAUAUGGGGGGCCCUUACUAGGCUGCCUAGCUCGCUGAAAGCACUGCAGGGGGGGCCAGAACGCUUGGGCGGGGGGCUCAAGCAGGCUGGGAUUUAAGGGGGCGGGGCUCUGCCUGGGGAACCAAGGGACCGGCGCGCCGGCGGGAUGGGGGCAACCCCGCCUGCUGCGUGCUGGGCCCUCCCCGGGCAUCGCCGCCCUCCCUGGCCUGCUCCUCCGCUCAUUCGUCCAUGAGUUAACUAGGGGUGAUCGACCCAAGCGUAUUGCUUGCAUAACGCAGCAUGGUAUCGGAGGAGUUUGGGGCCCGCCCCAUUCCCUUCUGCCGUGGGGUUCUUUUGCACCGGGUUGCUUGUUAGCCCAGAGGGGUGUUCGGGGGUGACCGUAUUGCUGGGCGAGGGGUGAAAUCCGUUGACCCUAGCAAGACGAACAAUAGCGAAAGCAGUCACCAAGGGCACGCCCGCUGAUCAAGAGCCAAAGUUGGGGGCGCGAACUCGAUCAGAUACCGAGGUAGUCCCAACUGUAAAUGCUGCCGACCUGAGCUGGGGCCCCUAUAUGUCCCUCUCGACGACCCCUGGAUCCUGGAGAAAUCAGAGUCACUGGGCUCUGGGGGGAGUAUGGUCGCAAGACUGAAACUUAAAGGAAUUGACGGAACGGAACACCAGGAGUGGAGCCUACGGCUUAAUUCGACUCAACACGGGAAAUCUCACCAGGACCGUAUACCCGCAUGAAGGACCGGCUAAAAGACCGUUCUUGAAUAAAGUAGGUGGUGGUGCAUGGCCGUUCUUGGUUCGUAGUGACUGGAUCGUCUGGUUUAUUCCGAUAACGAACGAGACCCCUCAACCCAGGUUGGUGCCCCCGGGACGACCGCUGAGGCCACCCCCGCCCCUCACGGGGAGGGGGGGGCCAUGGCAACCGCUUCUGGGAAGGCAACUAUACCAUCCCCCUGGGGGAUCACGGGUCUAUCUCAACCCGUUGCAAGGGGGCAAUAACAGGUCUGUAUGCCCUUAGAUGUCCUGGGCCGCACGUGCGUUACAUUGGAUCUAUCAACGGGUACGUCCCGCCAAAUGGUGCGGGGUGUCCAAGCCGUCUAGGCGGCAAGGCAAUCCCUGAAUCAGAUGCGCGAACGCUACCUUCCAUCGUUGGGCCAGGGCAUUGUAACUAUUGCCCUCCAACAUGGAAUUUCUAGUAUCCGCGGGUCAUCAGCCCGCGGAGGCUUAGUCCCUUCCGUUUGUACACACCGCCCGUCGCUGCUACCGAUUGAGCUGCCCACUUACGCCUUUCGAGGGGUCUUGCCGGUGGGG
rnacentral:rRNA from 1 species